rnacentral:rRNA from 1 species
AUUUAUAUAUUUAAUAUAAAUAAUAAGUCACGAAGGAAAUUGAGCUAAAUAUUAUUUAUUUAUAGAUAAUAUCAUAUAUGUUGUAUAAUAUAUUUAUUAUUAAUAUUUAGGGGUGAUAGGCUUUUCAAAAUAUCCGAUAUCUUGAUGUUUAGAAAAUAUAUUUAGUAUAUUAUACAUUUUAAGAGUGCUAAGGCUUUUAAAAUAUACUAAUUGUUAAAAUUGUUUGGUAGGCUAUUUAACAAUAACUAUUUUACAGAAAAGAACACUACGCAAAAUAUUUUGUAUAAAUUACUAAACCGUAUGAUAAAAUUACAUUAUAAUGUUACUGUUAAUAUUAGUAUUGUAUUAAAUAUUCCGAAGGAACUCGGCAACUUGUUUCUCAACUGUUUAUCAAAAACAUAGCUAAAUGAUUUAACAUUUGGUGAUUUCUGCUCAAUGGUUUACUAAAUAGCCGCAGUACCCUGACUGUGCAAAGGUAGCAUAAUCAUUUGGCUUAUAAUUGAAGUCUGGUAUGAAUGAACCCAUGGGAAAUAUCUGUCUCCUGCAUUUAAUUAAAAUUUACUUAAUAGGUGAAAAUUCCUAUAGUUAAAUAAAAGACGAGAAGACCCUAGAAAUUUUAUUUACUAUAAUGUUUCAUUAUAUCAUUUUGUUGGGGCGACAAAACAACAAUUAACUUGUUUUAUAUAAUUUGCAUAAUAUAAUAUGAAAAAUUAAAUUACUCUAGGGAUAACAGCAUAAUUUAUAAACGUUUGUGACCUCGAUGUUGGACUAGGAAUUUUGAUGUUCAAAAGAUAUUAAAACUUGCUCUGUUCGAGCAUAAACCCCUACAUGAUCUGAGUUCAGACCGG